AAAUUGCCACCUUGAUGCAUCACCAUUUGAUUGGUAGGGAUAGUAGUUAUAAAACUUGGUUGUUAAUUGAGAUGUUCUUCUUUAAGUGUCAAAAUAAUAACAUAGGGAAAGACUUGUAGGUGAUGGGGGUGUAUGCAUUAAGAAUUUUGUUAGUGUUGCUGUCUAAAGAGAAUUGGAAUAAACAGGUUAUGAAGACUCAUAUUUUUAAUGAUAAACUGGUGUAUGGCUUUAUGUAAAAUUGAAAACAUGAUCUACUCUUUAAGCAAAUUUGAAAACAGCUUGUCUGUAAUGCAUAAUUGUAUAUUUCAGAUAUGAUAAAAUGAAAUAUAACUAUUGUAGACAGAGUGAGCUGAACUGUAGGUAGAAUAAUCAUUAGUUGAGAGGAAAUUUUGUCUCUAGAUGGUGAUUAUGAAUUAAUCAUUUAAAACUGAUAAGUUUGACAAGAAUCCUAUGUAAAAUGUGAAAUUAAUAAUACUGAUUUUAUUGA
rnacentral:lncRNA from 1 species